GUAUGAAUGGAUUAACGAAAAUUUUUCUGUCUCCACUAUAUUAAUAUAAAUUAGCCUUUAGGCGAAAAGACCUAAAUUUCAGUAAAAGACAAGAAGACCCUAUCGAGCUUAAUUAAAACCAGACUAGACACGAUAAUAAAACUUAACCUCUCUCUUGGCUAUAAUUUAGUUGGGGCAACUAAGGAUAAAACCCAUCAUCCUAAAAAUCCACGAUAAACAAAUCAUCCCAUAGAUCCACAAAGUGAUCAAAGAACAAAGCUACCGUAGGGAUAACAGGCUAAAUUUUCCCAAAGAGCCCAAAUUAAUGGGAAAAAUUGGCACCUCGAUGUUGGCUUAAAGUUUCCCUCAGGAGCAAACACUUGAAAAGGUUGGUUUGUUCAACCAUUAAAACUUU
rnacentral:rRNA from 1 species